rfam:Helianthus annuus linkage group 9, whole genome shotgun sequence.
AGCUCUAUGAUUGAAUGCCAUUUUAGGCAAUAUACACUAUUCCGAUUGUUAUCGACGGAAAAUAUAGUUGAAUGAGAGCU